UACGGAGGGUGCAAACGUUGCUCGGAAUUAUUGGGCGUAAAGCGCACGUAGGCGGUCUGUUAAGUCGGGCGUGAAAUCCCUCAGCUCAACUGAGGAAGUGCACUCGAAACUGGCGGACUUGAAUACAGGAGAGGGUCGCGGAAUUCCCGGUGUAGAGGUGAAAUUCGUAGAUAUCGUAAGGAAGACCAGUGGCGAAGGCGAGUCUCUGGACAGUUACUGACGCUGAGGC
rnacentral:rRNA from 1 species